GACUCUGUUCCCCUGACAACCAGUCGCUAAGCUAUGGGUGGUUUCUCUGAUAGAUUUUUACCUGCAUAGAAACCUGUCCACCUUACAAGGCUUUGAGAUAGCCUGCUUUUAUACUGUCUGAAACCCAGUGGUGUGAUCCCCACAGGUUCCCUCGUCUUCAAGGCCUCAAUCGUCCUCCUGGUCCCCUAGUUCUCUACAGCUUCACUCUAUGUCUUUUUCAGGUGAAUGUGAUGCCUUGGGCUGAUGGCCUUUCUUGCUAGUAACAUGGCUCUUGGUGAGCCGCAAUGCCUGAUACCUUCCCCGGAGGUUUGUUCUGUUUAGAUACAAUUCUAUCACAAUGUUGUAAAUGAGUUUCAGCUGAUACAUUUUUUUAAUUAGGUAUUUAUUUCAUUUACAUUUCCAAUGCUAUCUCAAAAGUCGCCCACACGCUCCCCCACCCACUCCCACUUCUUGGCCCUGGUGUACCCCUGUACUGGGGCAUAUAAAGUUUGCAAGACCAAUGGGCCUCUCUUUCCGCUGAUGGCUGACUAGGCCAUCUUCUGAUACACAUGCAGCUAGAGACACGAGCUCUGGGGGUACUGGUUAGUUCACAUUGUUGUUCCACCUAUAGGGUUGCAGAUCCCUUUAGCUCCUUGGGUGCUUUCUCUAGCUCCUCCAUUGGGGGCCCUGUGAUCCAUCCAAUAGCUGACUGUGAGCACCCACUUCUGUGUUUGCAAGGCCCCGGCAUAAGGACCUUGUGAGUCUUCUUGCUGGGCAGGCAGCUUGGGGUAACACCUAACUGGGAGCCAGGAGAAAGGCAAACGGGAACAGUGAAGUUUCACAUUGAAGAGGUCCACAGAGAGCCAGGCUGAUGUUCCCAUGGGCAGGUUCUGAGGCCAGGCGAGCCUCCCUACUCGGAGAUCUCAGAGGAGGACAGGAUUCAGAAGGCUAACUGGAAGGAUCAGCUCACCCUUCUCAAUGACUGUGAGAACAACCGCACACCAAGAAGCAAAGGAAGAGCUAAGCAGCCGCCGCCAACAGGGUGCAAGCAAGGUUUAUAGGACAGUCAGGACACCUGAAACAUAGCUCACAUUUUCUAAGACCAGAGAAAUCCAUCAGUGUAGACCAUGUGCUGAAUGGACCCCAGCCCCAAAUUCAAGGAAUCCUGAAGCCUGGGGGACAGAGAGGAGGUUCACCCAUUGUGAUGCGAUGCAAAGCAACUGGAAAUGAACUAGAAAGGGCAAAGGGAAAACCUGCAGAUGCGGUGUCCCCCAAGUCCCCUGCCACAAGCAGCAGCCAUUGGAUACUCUGCCACUAAACAGCUCCCUCUAAAUAACACAUCAUGCAAAAGUGACAGAGGAGAGUCUGAAGAAAAUUUGUGUGUAUGUACACAUAUAAAUAUAUACACGAAUUUAUCCAUGAAUAUCUAGAUGUAUGUAUAUAUGGCUGGCUAAAUAUAGCAACAUAUCAGUAGAAAGGACUUUUGAUAACAUUUUAGGCUCACCUGCUAGGGAAUACAGAAAUCUUGAAAUCUGUUUAAGUCUCAAAAACAGAGAAAUUAGCACUUUUUUGUUGUUGUUCAUUUUAUAAAUGGAGGUGGAAAGGAUCAGAGAGGAGAUGAGGGAAGGGGAAAACCAAAAUCAAAAUAUAUUGUAUGAAAAUAUUUUUAAGCAAAAAAAAUAAUAAUAAAUGAAGAAUGAAAAUCAAUCUGAAGUAAGCAAAUGGCAGCCAGGAAGGAAGCUGAGCAGGUAAGAGCUGCUGAUUCGUCAAAGGAUCUGAGUCUGGUAUCCCAGCACCCAAUGAGGUGGCCACAGCUGUCUGUAACCAAGCCCAGAGGAUCCAUCUCAUUUUGCCUCUGGCAUCUGUGAGCACCUGCCCUCACAUGCAGAGAUGCACACCCAUCUACACAUAAUUAAAAAUAAUCAAAAUGAACCUUUUUAUAAAAAUGAUUGGUUAUUUGAAUAUAUGGAUAAAAUGAAAGACUUCUUAGUAAGGUUGACCACAAAAGGAUGUAAAUAACCAAUGUCAAGAAAAAGAUAGAAAGUAUCUCUGAGGCCCUGCCAGCAUUUAGGAGGUCAGAAGGAGCAGGAGUAACCCCACAUGAGGUAACAGUUGGGCUAGCAUGGACUAAUUCCUCAGAAAGCUCAGCUACCUCACCUCACCCCGUGAAGGAGAUCGUCCAACGGGCCAGUCCAGGAGAGUCUGAAAAUGCAAAAUUCCCC
rnacentral:lncRNA from 1 species